rnacentral:rRNA from 1 species
GAUGAACGCUGGCGGCGUGCUUAACACAUGCAAGUCGAACGGAAAGGCCGAAGCUUGCUUCGGUACUCGAGUGGCGAACGGGUGAGUAACACGUGGGUGAUCUGCCCUGUACUUCGGGAUAAGCUUGGGAAACUGGGUCUAAUACCGGAUAUGACGAUCUCUUGGAUGGGGUUGUGGAAAGCUUUUGCGGUAUGGGAUGAGCUCGCGGCCUAUCAGCUUGUUGGUGGGGUAAUGGCCUACCAAGGCGUCGACGGGUAGCCGGCCUGAGAGGGUGUACGGCCACAUUGGGACUGUGAUACGGCCCAGACUCCUACGGGAGGCAGCAGUGGGGAAUAUUGCACAAUGGGAGCAAGCCUGAUGCAGCGACGCCGCGUGGGGGAUGACGGCCUUCGGGUUGUAAACUCCUUUCGCAAUCGACGAAGCCUUUUGGUGACGGUAGGUUGAGAAGAAGCACCGGCUAACUACGUG